ANNACGCUGGCGGCGGGCUUACACAUGCAAGUCGAAGGAGAAGGAAGGAGCUUGCUCUUUCUGGAGACUGGCGCACGGGUGAGUAACGCGUAGACAACCUGCCUAUAGCUGGGGGAUAACAUCUCGAAAGAGGUGCUAAUACCGCAUAAUGCAGCGGGGCCGCAUGGUCACAGUUGUUAAAGCCUUCGGGCGGCUAUAGAUGGGUCUGCGUGCCAUUAGUUAGUUGGUAGGGUAACGGCCUACCAAGGCGAUGAUGGCUAGGGGGUCUGAGAGGAUGAUCCCCCACACUGGACUGAGACACGGCCCAGACUCCUACGGGAGGCAGCAGUGAGGAAUCUUGCGCAAUGGAGGAAACUCUGACGCAGCCACGCCGCGUGCCGGAAGAAGGCCCUAUGGGUUGUAAACGGCUUUUAAUUGGGAAGAAGGAUAGGGUUUUGAUCAUAUUUGACGGUACCGAUUGAAUAAGCACCGGCUAACUCCGUGCCAGCAGCCGCGGUAAUACGGAGGGUGCAAGCGUUGUCCGGAAUCAUUGGGUGUAAAGGGUGCGUAGGCUGGCUCUUAAGUCUGAGGUGAAAUCUUGCCGCUUAACGGUAAAAUGGCCUUGGAUACUGGGAGUCUUGAAUCUGACAGAGGUCGGUGGAAUUCGUAGUGUAGCGGUGAAAUGCAUAGAUAUUACGAAGAACACCAGUGGCGAAGGCGGCCGGCUGGGUCAGUAUUGACGCUGAGGCACGAGAGCGUGGGGAGCGAACAGGAUUAGAUACCCUGGUAGUCCACGCUGUAAACGAUGUAUG
rnacentral:rRNA from 1 species